GAUGAACGCUGGCGGCGUGCCUAACACAUGCAAGUCGAACGGAGAUUACGGACGGAAGUUUUCGAAUGGAAGACUGUAAUUCUUAGUGGCGGACGGGUGAGUAACGCGUGGGCAACCUGCCCUAUACAGGGGGAUAGCAGCUGGAAACGGCUGGUAAGACCGCAUAAGUCGGUUAAAUCGCAUGAUUUGAUCGGGAAAUGAGCAAUCAGGUAUAGGAUGGGCCCGCGUCCGAUUAGCCAGUUGGCAGGGUAAAAGCCUACCAAAGCGACGAUCGGUAGCCGGACUGAGAGGUCGGACGGCCACAUUGGGACUGAGACACGGCCCAAACUCCUACGGGAGGCAGCAGUGGGGGAUAUUGCACAAUGGAGGAAACUCUGAUGCAGCGACGCCGCGUGAGUGAAGAAGUAUUUCGGUAUGUAAAGCUCUAUCAGCAGGGAAGAUGAUGACGGUACCUGACUAAGAAGCCCCGGCUAACUACGUG
rnacentral:rRNA from 1 species